CUGGAAUUCAAACGGCUGGGUAGGAAGCACGCUAGCAGGGGCCUCUGGCCUUGCUGAGGGUCCCUGUUUCCCCUUUUCCUUCCUUUUCACCCAACAAAACCCUGCUUUACUCACCCUUCAAACCAUCUAUGAGCCUAAAUUGUCGUGGUCGUGGAAUGGACAAGGACCCAGUCUUUAGCUGAACUAAGGGAAAGUCCUGCUUUUUGGCGCGCAACAGGGGAGCUCAAGAAACAGGCCUCACUCACGGCAUAUGGAACUAACCACGCCCCUAACUAAGAAGGCACACCUUAGUUGCAGUUAGCACACAAUUAAAGCAACUCUCCAAGUUUUACCUUAAAGUUCAAAAUUGCUAGGAGUUGAAACUACUAGAAAUAUAUUUACAUGCAAGAGUCAAAGAAACUUUGAACUAUUUAUGGCCUUUAAUAAUUAAGUAAGGUAUACUCCUGUGAUCAAGACUUGGAGCAUAUUUGUUUCUCUCUGCCUGGUUCCUCUAGAAAUUGGAAACUAUCAGAACAGAGACCAACUCCGUUUCCCGAUCCCUUUGCAAUCUGCAUUGAACCAUGAGUCAAGUUCUUGAUAAAGGAGUGAAAAUGGUAAGUCUAAAGCAAUGAAAAGCUGCUGUAUUGACUACACAUGCCUUCAUUUCUUCUACCCUGCUUCUUUCAUGCCUGCUUAUCUGAAUGACACCAGGAUGACAUUUAAGGCACAUCUGAAGAUGGGGAAACCACAGCACAGAAUAAGGCUGGGCCCUUGAAUCAAUAAAUGAAGGAGAACUACUCAAGAGAACAAAACCACCAGCAAUAUCCACCUGUAUUUGUCUUUUCAUAAUGUGUGACACAUGUGCUCAUGGAUUAUUGUCCGAAGCAAGACAUGUGACCAAGCCUAACAUCAACUGGGUGAAGAGCUAUAUGUUCCUUUCUCAAGAGGCACUACAAGUGACAUGCCACUGGGCAGUUUAGCAAAAGCUGGAGGUGCCUUGACAUUUGCAGUACACUGAAACAGUGGCUGGCUUGAAAAAUCCCAAAACGAUUUUCUGCAGGAGAGCCCUUUUGACUAAUAUGAGUAUUUCUGUUGCAGAAUAUUUAUGUGUGAAUCAACUAGAGGAAUGAACAUCACCUAAAGACAAAACAGGAUCUUUGUAUACAUCUUCUGGGAAGGAGUUGUUAUCAUUUCCACAAGGCCAAUUGCAUCAUUCGGAUAAAAACAUUAUAUUGUUGUCUUUAUUUGGAAGUAAAAUAUAUUUUAAAGAGAUGUGAAUGAUUAUAAAGUUUAUAAUAGGUAUACUGUGAUGACUUUGUCAAACGUUAACUUGACUAGGCUGAAUGAUAUUUCCUAGAAUUCCCUUUCCUUUGUUUUCUAUUAAAGAGGGAAUGUUUUCUGGUAGACCAUGUAAUAGAGAUAGAAGUUCUUCUUUUUUACGCAUUCAUUCAUUAUUAUAGUUUAAUGAAUCAUAAAUGAAAAAAAAACCCUCUUCCAGAAGCAUUUACUAACACUUUCAGGUAUAUGAGAAUGGAAUAAUUUUCAGAAACUGGGCUUUCUGUAUUUUCCCUGUUGGCUAUUUCAGACCAGUUCCCGACCCUUCUCCAUCCUUCUCCAUGCCCUGGGAAACCGACUUUUAUAGACUGCAAAAGUAUGCUCUCUUACACUUUGGUUUCUUAUUGAGGUCAAAUAAUAAAAAUCACUGCCAAAAAAUGGGAAGGC
ensembl:lncRNA LINC01515 long intergenic non-protein coding RNA 1515